AUAGCGUAUAUUAAAGUUGUUGCAGUUAAAAAGCUCGUAGUUGAACCUUGGGUUUGGCUGGUCGGUCCGCCUCACCGCGUGUACUGGUCCGGCCGAACCUUUCCUUCUGGGGAAUCGCAUGCCCUUCACUGGGUGUGUCGAGGAUCCAGGACUUUUACUUUGAAAAAAUUAGAGUGUUCAAAGCAGGCCUAUGCUCGAAUACAUUAGCAUGGAAUAAUAGAAUAGGACGUAUGGUUCUAUUUUGUUGGUUUCUAGGACCGUCGUAAUGAUUAAUAGGGACAGUCGGGGGCAUCAGUAUUCAAUUGUCAGAGGUGAAAUUCUUGGAUUUAUUGAAGACUAACUACUG
rnacentral:rRNA from 1 species